rnacentral:misc_RNA from 1 species
UUCUUGCCUCACGACGGCUCUCCCUAGAUUGUGCACCAUGUUUUAUGAUGACAUCCUCUUCUUUCUCAAGCAAUUGAAAAAGCAAAUCACGAAUUUUUCCUCCCUCCUUUCUGUAUCGAUUGCCCAUGAAGAAGAGCAAAGAAUUCCGAUUAUCAACGCCAAUAUCCCCAGUGUAUGUGUUAAUCCGAUGUGAGUACGGCAAGAUGACAUCCUUAACAAGAGAUGCCUGAUUACGAGCCAGCCUUCCAAAAUCAGAAACUAACAGCACUCCAUUCUUCACCUUAUCCACAACCUUGUAUAAAGCAUUAGGAUCCUGGCAUAUAAACACGUGAUCCCAACCAUUGUUCCUUUUCCAGUACUCCUGCUUCUCCAACCAUUCAAUUAAAGACUCCUGCGUUUCCUCAUCACUAUAAGUAGGCCUCUUCACGGGUGCAACAACAGCAUUAUUGGAUCUAAUCGGAUUCGCCACAAGGCUCAACGACGAGAAGAAAGGCACAUAGAAAAGAUCAGCUUCCUCCGGGUCCAUAACCCGAGUUACAGCCGACCCGACCCGUUCUAAACUCGGCCGAUUCAGGUCAGAAAACAAAUACCACUCAGCAGAAUGCUGAUUUCCAG